CAAAUAGCGUAUAUUAAAGUUGUUGCAGUUAAAAAGCUCGUAGUUGAAUUUCGGGAUCAAGGGAUCGGGCAUGCCUUGGUAUGUACUGGUUUCAUUGGUUCUCACCUUCUAAAGAACCAUGAUGUCAUUCAUUUGAUGUUAUGGGGAAUUAGGACUGUUACCUUGAAAAAAUUAGAGUGUUUAAAGCAAGCUUACGCUUGAAUACAUUAGCAUGGAAUAAUGAAAUAGGACAUCAGAUUCUAUUUUGUUGGUUUCUAGGAUCGAUGUAAUGAUUAAUAGGGAUAGUUGGGGGCAUUAGUAUUCAAUUGUCAGAGGUGAAAUUCUUGGAUUUAUUGAAGACUAACUACUGCGAAAGCAUUUGCCAAGGAUGUUUUCAUUAAUCAAGAACGAAAGUUAGGGGAUCGAAGACGAUCAGAUACCGUCGUAGUCUUAACCAUAAACUAUGCCGACUAGGGAUCGGAUGAUGUUAAUUUUUUAAUGACUCAUUCGGCACCUUACG
rnacentral:rRNA from 1 species